CUGAAAUUCAGACACCAGUAUAUUUCGUAUCCAGAUAUCCCCUAUGUCAGGAUGCAAGAUAUACCGGUGUCUGAAUUUCAGACGCGCCUAUAUUUUGCAUCCACAUAUAGGUCUGUCUGAAAUUCAGCCACCAGUAUAUUUUGUGCUCAGCUUAUCGUACUGUGGAAUCUUGAUUUGAUAGAAAAAGGAAGUUCUUGCAGACAAUCAAAUGGUGUCUGCCAAAAACAGCUUAUUUCUUUAAAAAAAAACAUCACGCUGCGGAUUUUUGUUAAUUUCAUGAAAAUGUGCGGAAAAUCACAAGUUUGGAAUUGUUCAAAAUUCUUUGGAACGCGUUA